rnacentral:misc_RNA from 1 species
AACGCACAUUGCGCCCCUUGGUAUUCCAUUGGGCAUGCCUGUUCGAGCGUCAUUUACACCCUCAAGCUUCGCUUGGUGUUGGGCGUCUGUCCCCGCUUCAUGCGGGGACUCGCCCCAAAUCCAUUGGCAGCGGCUCCGCCGGCUUCUCGCGCAGCACAUUGCGCAUCGGAAGGCUCCUGGCGGGAUCGCGUCCACUAAGAUACCACCCAGUUUGACCUCGAAUCAGGUAGGGAUACCCGCUGAACUUAA